UACAAAUUCUUUAUCAGAUUGAAACGACAAGGCGAUAUCUUUAGGCGUAAUAAGACCACUGAUGUUCUUGUACAUUGAAAACAUACAGCUCUUCAAGGACUCCCAUUAUUUUUGAGGGAGAAGACUGACAUUCUGCUGAGGACUUGUCUGGAAACAGACCCAGAGGAAAGUGGCACCCAAGGCCUGAAAGUGGGUAUCAUCAUUAUUGUUGAGGAUGAUGUUGCCAUUGUCCAUUCCAACCCCAAUAUUGUCAGAACAGACAUUGUACUGGAGGAGCAGAUUAUGCUGGAUGAGCUGCGUGAUCUGCCCAGUGCAUUUGCACUCCUGUUUGGCUUACUCUAUGUACUAAAUAUUGACUAUCCCAGGGAACUAAAAUAUACUUUUGAGGUGAUUCAAAAGGUGUUCAUGAACCUAGGAUCCCAGUGCUCUGCAAGAGUCCAGUCCCUGAAAAACAAACUUCUGCAGUAAUCACAGAUACCUUUUGAAGUUUGUCAGUUUUAGUUUAA